rnacentral:rRNA from 1 species
GAUGAACGCUGGCGGUGUGCCUAAUACAUGCAAGUCGAGCGAACAGACGAGGAGCUUGCUCCUCUGACGUUAGCGGCGGACGGGUGAGUAACACGUGGAUAACCUACCUAUAAGACUGGGAUAACUUCGGGAAACCGGAGCUAAUACCGGAUAAUAUAUUGAACCGCAUGGUUCAAUAGUGAAAGACGGUUUUGCUGUCACUUAUAGAUGGAUCCGCGCCGCAUUAGCUAGUUGGUAAGGUAACGGCUUACCAAGGCGACGAUGCGUAGCCGACCUGAGAGGGUGAUCGGCCACACUGGAACUGAGACACGGUCCAGACUCCUACGGGAGGCAGCAGUAGGGAAUCUUCCGCAAUGGGCGAAAGCCUGACGGAGCAACGCCGCGUGAGUGAUGAAGGUCUUCGGAUCGUAAAACUCUGUUAUUAGGGAAGAACAAAUGUGUAAGUAACUAUGCACGUCUUGACGGUACCUAAUCAGAAAGCCACGGCUAACUACGUG